UGAGGAAUAUUGGUCAAUGGGCGCAAGCCUGAACCAGCCAAGUAGCGUGCAGGAAGACGGCCCUAUGGGUUGUAAACUGCUUUUAUACGAGAAUAAUUUGAUGCACGUGUGCGUUAUUGCAUGUAUCGUAUGAAUAAGGACCGGCUAAUUCCGUGCCAGCAGCCGCGGUAAUACGGAAGGUCCAGGCGUUAUCCGGAUUUAUUGGGUUUAAAGGGAGUGUAGGCGGUUUGUUAAGCGUGUUGUGAAAUUUAGAUGCUCAACAUUUAACUUGCAGCGCGAACUGUCAGACUUGAGUACACGCAACGUAUGCGGAAUUCAUGGUGUAGCGGUGAAAUGCUUAGAUAUCAUGAAGAACUCCGAUUGCGAAGGCAGCAUACGGGAGUGUAACUGACGCUUAAGCUCGAAGGUGCGGGUAUCGAACAGGAUUAGAUACCCUGGUAGUCCGCACAGUAAACGAUGGAUGCCCGCUGUUAGCGCCUGGCGUUAGCGGCUAAGCGAAAGCAUUAAGCAUCCCACCUGGGGAGUACACCGGCAACGGUG
rnacentral:rRNA from 1 species